rnacentral:rRNA from 1 species
GUCCACGCCCUAAACGAUGCCAACUAGUUGUUGGGGAAGGAGACUUCCUUAGUAACGAAGCUAACGCGUGAAGUUGGCCGCCUGGGGAGUACGGUCGCAAGAUUAAAAACUCAAAAGGAAUUGACGGGGACCCGCACAAGCGGUGGAUGAUGUGGAUUAAUUCGAUGCAACGCGAAAAACCUUACCUACCCUUGACAUGCCAGGAACUCUGCUGAGAGGUGGAGGUGCCCGAAAGGGAGCCUGGACACAGGUGCUGCAUGGCUGUCGU